UACGUAGGGUGCAAGCGUUGUCCGGAAUUAUUGGGCGUAAAGAGCUUGUAGGCGGUUUGUCGCGUCUGCUGUGAAAAUCCGGGGCUCAACUCCGGACUUGCAGUGGGUACGGGCGGACUUGAGUGUUGCAGGGGAGACUGGAAUUCCUGGUGUAGCGGUGAAAUGCGCAGAUAUCAGGAGGAACACCGGUGGCGAAGGCGGGUCUCUGGGCAACUACUGACGCUGAGGAGCGAAAGCGUGGGGAGCGAACAGG
rnacentral:rRNA from 1 species